UGGGGAAUAUUGGACAAUGGGCGAAAGCCUGCUCCAGCCAUGCCGCGUGUGUGAAGAAGGUCUUCGGAUUGUAAAGCACUUUAAGUUGGGAGGAAGGGCAGUAAGCGAAUACCUUGCUGUUUUGACGUUACCGACAGAAUAAGCACCGGCUAACUCUGUGCCAGCAGCCGCGGUAAUACAGAGGGUGCAAGCGUUAAUCGGAAUUACUGGGCGUAAAGCGCGCGUAGGUGGUUCGUUAAGUUGAAUGUGAAAGCCCCGGGCUCAACCUGGGAACUGCAUCCAAUACAGGCGAGCUAGAGUAGGGCAGAGGGUGGUGGAAUUUCCUGUGUAGCGGUGAAAGGCGUAGAUAUAGGAAGGAACACCAGUGGCGAAGGCGACCACCUGGGCUCAAACAGACACUAAGGUGCGAAAGCGUGGGGAGCAAACAGG
rnacentral:rRNA from 1 species